AAUUUUUAGCAUUUAUGUGCCUUUUCCAUGUGCAUUGUACUGAAGUGCUGAUUAUUUUCCUUAGGUGACAAUAACAUCACAAGUCAAAGAACUUCAGACUCUGUUGAAGGGGAAGGAAAAGCAGAUGAAAACCAUGGAGGCCUUAUUGGAAGAGAAGGAGAAAGAGAUUGUUAAGAAAGGAGAAUGUCUGCAGGGUCAGAAGGAUACAAUUGCACAAUUAACCAGUAAAGUUCAGGAGCUGGAACAACAGAACCUGCAACAACUCCAACAGGUACCUGCUACAACCCAAGUCCAGGACGUGGAGAACCUGU